rnacentral:rRNA from 1 species
GUGGGGAAUAUUGCACAAUGGGCGCAAGCCUGAUGCAGCAACGCCGCGUGAGGGACGACGGCCUUCGGGUUGUAAACCUCUUUUAGCAGGGAAGAAGCGAAAGUGACGGUACCUGCAGAAAAAGCACCGGCUAACUACGUGCAAGCAGCCGCGGUAAUACGUAGGGUGCAAGCGUUGUCCGGAAUUAUUGGGCGUAAAGAGCUCGUAGGCGGUUUGUCGCGUCUGCUGUGAAAACCCGAGCCUCAACACCGGGCCUGGAGUGGGUACGGGCCGACUAGAGUGCGGUAGGGGAGAUUGGAAUUCCUGGUGUAGCGGUGGAAUGCGCAGAUAUCAGGAGGAACACCGAUGGCGAAGGCAGAUCUCUGGGCCGUAACUGACGCUGAGGAGCGAAAGCGUGGGGAGCGAACAGGAUUAGAAACCCGUGUAGUCC